GAACGCUGGCGGCGUGGAUUAGGCAUGCAAGUCGAACGGUAGGAUACCUUCGGGUAUCUGAGAGUGGCGAACGGGUGAGUAACACGUAGGUGAUCUACCCUCAAGAUUGGGACAACCCAGGGAAACUUGGGCUAAUACCGGAUGAAAGCAGCAGUGAUGUUGUUUGAAAGGUGGCGUAAGCUGCCGUUUGGGGAUGAGCCUGCGCUCUAUUAGUUAGUUGGCGGGGUAAAGGCCCACCAAGGCGAUGAUAGAUAGGCGGCCUUAACGGGUGGUCGUCCACACUGGGAUUGAGAUACGGCCCAGACUCCUACGGGAGGCAGCAGUCGAGAAUAGUCUACAAUGGCCGAAAGGCUGAUAGUGCGACGCCGCGUGAACGAAGAAGCCCUUCGGGGUGUAAAGUUCUUUUAUACGUGAGCAGUGCCCUUUAUAUGAAUAGUAUAGAGGGAGGGAUUUAAGCGUAUGAAUAAGCAACGGCUAACUCCGUG
rnacentral:rRNA from 1 species